AUUGUAGUGUUGAGAAGAUUGAGGAAGGGAUUUAGGCUGAGCAAGUCCAAUCCUAUUAUAUUUUUGCUCGAAGGAGAACAUUUUUCCACUCGUCUUCCAAAUCUCUUCCACAAUCUUCUCAACACUACAAU
rnacentral:pre_miRNA from 1 species